UCGUUAGCUCAGGUGGUAGAGCAGCGGACUUUUAAUCCGUUGGUCGCAGGUUCGAGUCCUGCACGAC
rnacentral:tRNA from 1 species